UCUAAUUGGACCUCUUUCCACCAUUAGAUCUCUAAAUUUUGUAUCAAUAUUUUUUCAUUGACCAGGAUCAUAAAAAUUUGUAGAAAUAGAACUAGUUCCACAAUCUUUUUUCUUGUUUAUCUUAUCUCCAUCUGAUUCUUCAUUGUGCUCUUCACUAGAUAUUGUUUCACUAGCAAUCUCAUUUUUUAACUCUAUUUCGGGUGUCUGUUCUGUUGCUAAUUCCUAAGUUGAAUUUGAUGUGGCAUUUUGUUUGUUUGUAACAACAAAUCUAUC
rnacentral:lncRNA from 1 species